AUAGGCUUGCGUCUGAUUAGCUAGUUGGUGUGGUAACGGCACACCAAGGCUACGAUCAGUAACUGGUCUAGAGAGGAUGAUCAGUCACACUGGAACUGAGACACGGUCCAGACUCCUACGGGAGGCAGCAGUGAGGAAUAUUGGGCAAUGCUCGAAAGAGUGACCCAGCAACGCCGCGUGGAGGAUGAAGGUAUUCUAUAUCGUAAACUCCUUGUGAGAGCAGACGAAAGACAGAUUAUUUAAUCUGGAUGGCUGUAUGCUCAGAGGAAGCCCCGGCUAACUACGUG
rnacentral:rRNA from 1 species